GAGGGUUGUUAAAACAAAUUAAAUGCAUCUGAUCUUGUCUGAUUUCCAAAGUUAAACGGUUUUGUGCCCUGCUAAUACUUGGAUAAGAGACCACCUGUGAAACUAGGGGAGCCAUGA
rnacentral:rRNA from 1 species